UACGGAGGGUGCAAGCGUUAUCCGGAUUCACUGGGCGUAAAGAGCGCGCAGGCGGCUGGUCAAGUCCGAUGUGAAAUCUCCCGGCUUAACUGGGAAACUGCAUCGGAAACUGAUCGGCUUGAAGGUGGGAGAGGGUAGUGGAAUUCCCGGUGUAGUGGUGAAAUGCGUAGAUAUCAGGAGGAAUACCGGUGGCGAAAGCGACUCUCUGGACGGCAACUGACGCUGAGGCACGAAAGCGUGGGGAGCAAACAGG
rnacentral:rRNA from 1 species